ensembl:lncRNA
AGAAAACCAGAGGGACAUGGGGCUGAGCUCCUCCCUGCCCCCUUUCCACACAUGCCUGAGGACAUUUCUCACAUCAAUGCUCCUCUAAAUGGUUUGCCAUCACUGGAAUUGUCUAUUCUUCAGGGUUAUUCAUUGUAGAGGGAAAGUCUGGAAGCUAUUAGGACUCUAUAUCAGAAAGAAAAGGGAAAGGAAAAAGGCUGAGAUCUAAUCUAGCCUCAGACAAAACCUGUAUGACACUGGGCAAUUUACUUCAUCUCUUUUUGCUUCUAUUGUCAGAAUUACUUAAUAUGGUCAACAGCACCCAAUUCAGAAGGCUGAAUGUUACUAUAUAGUGUCUACCAUGUGUCACAUACUGUGCUAAGAUCUUUACAAAUAUUAUCCCAUUUGACCUUUACAAGAACUCUGAGAGUGGUGCAAUGGAUUGAUUCUGGUCCUGGAGUGAAGAAAACCUUAAUUCAAAAUCAGAAUUUGAUACUUAACAUCUGGACUUUGAGUAAGUUACUCAAUAUCUAUCUACCUCAAUUUGCUGAAAUAAUAGAAUUGGAUAAUAAUAGACCCUCCUUUCCAGGUAUGUUAUGAGAAU